rnacentral:rRNA from 1 species
CCUACGGGUGGCAGCAGUGGGGGAUAUUGCACAAUGGGGGAAACCCUGAUGCAGCGACGCCGCGUGGGCGAAGAAGUAUCUCGGUAUGUAAAGCCCUAUCAGCAGGGAAGAAGAAAUGACGGUACCUGAGUAAGAAGCACCGGCUAAAUACGUGCCAGCAGCCGCUGUAAUACGUAUGGUGCAAGCGGUAUCCGGAUGUACUGGGUGUAAAGGGAGCGCAGGCGGCACGGCAAGCCUGAUGUGAAAGCCCGCGGCCCAACCGCGGGACUGCAUUGGGAACUACCGGGCUGGAGUGCCGGAGAGGUAGGCGGAAUUCCUGGUGUAGCGGUGAAAUGCGUAGAUAUUAGGAGGAACACCAGUGGCGAAGGCAGCCUACUGGACGGUGACUGACGCUGAGGCUCGAAGGCGUGGGGAGCAAACAGGAUUAGAUACCCGUGUAGUC